GUCUUAGCACGUUGCUUGCCUCAGUUUACUCUUUUUCCUUAAAUGGUUUUGGUAAGAUUGUCAGGAAUUGGAUUUCGUGAUCUCGUUCAUUUACACCUCCCUCUCCUCCCGAACCCUCAUUAGAAAUUCAAGUUUUUACACUACGCAAGAAUUUUGAACCUGCUUAAAAGCUUCUUUUGUCCGCCUGCUUUAGUCAGAUUCCCCAGUCCAUGGCAGAAACAGGACAUCAACAAAGAGGGGUGGGCUCCCUCCCCAACACUCCACUCCGCCCGCACGCCUCCUUUUCUUGUUGUCACUCAGAGAGAGAAACGCAAGGUCAACGAGCGGCGCGGCUGCAAAGUUAAAUCCCUAUUGGUCAGAUGCGCCAGAGCUGCCCGUCCGCUCAUUCUAGGCCGGGCUUCCCGGUAGACCCGCUGCGGCCUCCAGUCCCGCAGCCCGCAGCCUGCUAGGCGUUCUUAAAGGCGCCGCGCCCCCACUCAGACUCUCAGAAGGCUGCUCUUUGCAGACCUGCCUGGGAAGGGAGUCCGGGACCAGAAGGAGGAGGGGCUCUGGAGGCGGGGCCUCAGCCGGGGACAGCGGUUGCACCUGCUCCAGUCCCUCCCACAAGUUUCGGGUGCAGUUUCUCGUCUCACCGUCAGGGGGAAGGGCGUUCGUUUGACCGCGAAUAAUAAAUAAUGGCUAACAUUGAGUGUGUUGCGCAUGUCAGAGUCCUUCACUCGCUGCUCAGCACCGAACCUGCCCAAACCCUGUGAGGUAGGUAGGUGACACUUGCUUUUCCCACGCGACAGUGGAGCCUAAAGCUUAAAAUCCUAUUCCGGAUUCCCAUUUAGGGACAGACAGAGCAGAGAUUCAAACAGAUUUUAAGCCACCUGUCCUAGGAAGGGAGGACACCUCUUUUGUUUAUUUUUAGUUUUCUUUUUUCUUUUUAAAAAAACACAAUCUCUCUGUGUAGCCAUGGAAGUCACUAUGUAGACCAGGCUGAUCUGGAACUCACAAAGAUCCACCUGUUUUUGCUGGGAUCUAAGGCAUAUGCCACUACAAUGGGCGUUGUAGGGCUUUGUAUGGCUUAGUCAAUCUAGACAACAAACUCCAGCUCCAGCCCUCUGACUGUUGUUAUUGCACUUUUGACUCAAGUUCUCUGGGGCUUAGCUGGCCUUGAUUGUGCAGCAAUUCGCCUGCUUCUGAUUCCCCAUUGCCGGGACGGUAAAUCAUGUGCUAUCAUAUCCGGUUCAUGACCACCUUUUACCCAAAGAUACAUCAGGAGGUCGUGUGGUUCCGGACAGGUGUUUGGUGAAGAGGUGAAAGUCUCACCCCAGCCCUCUACCAGCUACCAAAGGUUUCCAUGCAUACGUGUUUCUUUGUGGACGCCAUGGGACAUAACUGCUUCUGCACAGACCCAAAUCCAUUCUUUCCCCCAAACACUUCCCUGACAGGUGGGCCUGUCAUACGGACUUUUUUCAGUGCGAACAUAAGGCCUUCCAUUAAGCUGAGCGGGAUUCUGCGCAGGGGCUUGUCUAGGUGUGUUUUUUACCGCACGGGUUUAAUUCUAAGCAGGUGUUCUGAUUACUCUGACUACAAGUCCACAUUGUGUAUCUUUCUACGAAACUAGUCCUGUACAAGUUGAUUGAUUGACUAUGGGAUAAAGAAGGAACCCAGGGUCUCAGGCAUGCUGAAUUCAUAGCUGAGAAAAGGGCGAUGCCGUCACUAAGACAUUCUUGGCAGGUGACCUUCACUAGGUGAUUCUAGGCAAGGUUUCUGGCCCUGAGCCACGCUCCCAGCCAUUUUACUUUUGAAAUAGGAUUUGCUCAGGCUGGCCUUGAACUUGUGAUCCUCUGGCCUCCGCCUCCAGAAUACACUUAGGAUUCAGGUUAGCAUUACCAGAUCUGACGUCAGUAUGAAUCAGUGUUACCCAUCGGAGACCGCCCUUUACAGGUGUGUAUCUUUCUGGAGUGUCGCCACGCCCCCUGCGUCUGCACACCUGUGCCACAGAGGGACCCCAGCUGUGCAGUCCUUUCACCUGCUCGCUUCCGCCCUCCGCGCAGCUCCUUGUCGCAAUGGGGUUCCCGUUACAGGUGCUCUGGCGGCGCGGCCCCGCCCUCUUCGCCCCGCCCCUCUCAGCCAGGCUCAGGUGCACAAGCCGGAAGUGCGCUCUUUGCCUAGGUCCUGGGUCGCAGGUGCCCUCCUCGACCCAAGAUGCGGUAGGAAUUGGAGCCCUGGGGAAGUCCUGUCCUUGGCGCCACCAACUCGUCGCCCAAGCUCAUGGCGACCCCAGGCCUGGGGCUGCUCUUGGCGUUUGGCUUGCCGAUGCUGCCCUCCGGCUGGAGCCAAGAAACACCAGACUCUUUCACAAAUAGCACAACUCAACCCCCAGAUGGCGGCGGGUCCAACGGGGGCUUGUCCUCAGAGGCCAUCGUGGCCAUCACUGUGGUCUUUUCCAUUCUGGGAACCCUCCUCAUAGCAGUGGGGCUAUUCCUGCUAAUGAGAAAACUUCGAGAAAAGCGGCAGACAGAGGGCACCUACCGGCCCAGCAGUGAGGAGCAGGUGGGUGCCCGUGCUCCACCACCCCCCAACCUCAAGCUGCCCCCGGAGGAGCGGCUCAUCUGAAUUUAGGGGUGUUGGCCAUAGGCCAUCAUCACGACCAACGCCCAGGACUGCCUUGGCACACCGAGACACACAGCAGCCACCUUGGAGACAACAGCCUCUGAUGACUCAGGAGGACUUGGCUUGGGGAACCCUGGGGCAUCCAGCUGUUUUCCCACGCAGCAGCUGAGGCCCGGGCCCCCCAGGACUCCAAGGAGCCAGUGCGGGGCUGCCUGCCCAUCUAGCUCCUCCCCUCCUUCCCUGUCAUCCAUCUUCCCUUCCUGGCUGUGUGACCUUGUGGAAGGCUUGGGCAGUCAGACUCAUACAAUACUCAAUAGAAGGGGAGAGAGUUCUUCAGAGA